AGGAUGAACGCUGGCGGCGUGCUUAACACAUGCAAGUCGAACGAUGAAGGCUGGAGCUUGCUCUGGCUGGAUUAGUGGCGAACGGGUGAGUAACACGUGAGUAACCUGCCCCAGACUCUGGGAUAAGCGCUGGAAACGGCGUCUAAUACCGGAUACGAGCUUCCACCGCAUGGUGAGGAGCUGGAAAGAUUUCGGUCUGGGAUGGACUCGCGCCUAUCAGCUUGUUGGUGAGGUAAUGACUCACCAAGGCCGACGACGGUA
rnacentral:rRNA from 1 species